rnacentral:rRNA from 1 species
UGGGGAAUUUUGGACAAUGGGCGCAAGCCUGAUCCAGCCAUGCCGCGCGCGGGAAGAAGGCCUUCGGGUUGUAAACCGCUUUUGUCAGGGAAGAAAUCUUCUGAGUUAAUACCUCGGGAGGAUGACGGUACCUGAAGAAUAAGCACCGGCUAACUACGUGCCAGCAGCCGCGGUAAUACGUAGGGUGCAAGCGUUAAUCGGAAUUACUGGGCGUAAAGCGUGCGCAGGCGGUUUUGUAAGACAGAGGUGAAAUCCCCGGGCUCAACCUGGGAACUGCCUUUGUGACUGCAAGGCUUGAGUGCGGCAGAGGGGGAUGGAAUUCCGCGUGUAGCAGUGAAAUGCGUAGAUAUGCGGAGGAACACCGAUGGCGAAGGCAAUCCCCUGGGCCUGCACUGACGCUCAUGCACGAAAGCGUGGGGAGCAAACAGGAUUAGAUACCCUGGUAGUCCACGCCCUAAACGAUGUCAACUGGUUGUUGGGAAGGUUCCUUCUCAGUAACGUAGCUAACGCGUGAAGUUGACCGCCUGGGGAGUACGGCCGCAAGGUUGAAACUUAAAUGAAUUGACGGGGUCAUAGCUGUUUCCUG